AUAACAAUAUGGACCUCUCUAACGAUGGUCCAUAAUUGGAAUGAGUUGAGCAUAAAUCCUUUUGCAAGGAUCAAGUGGAGGGCAAGUCUGGUGCCAGCAGCCGCGGUAAUUCCAGCUUCAC
rnacentral:rRNA from 1 species